UCUGGAAUAAAGACACCUCGGAAGUGCCGGAAAUUAAGUUAAAGACAACUUCUGAUGGUGAGAUGUUGGAUAAAGAUUUAGCGGAAGUGUCGGAAGGCACUUCUGAUGAUGAAUGGGAGGAUGUAGACACCUCGGAAAUGUCGGAAGGCACUUCUGAUGAUGAAUGGGAGGAUGUAG